rnacentral:rRNA from 1 species
AACGAACGCUGGCGGCAUGCCUAACACAUGCAAGUCGAACGAGACCUUCGGGUCUAGUGGCGCACGGGUGCGUAGCGCGUGGGAAUCUGCCCUUGGGUUCGGAAUAACAGCGAGAAAUUGCUGCUAAUACCGGAUGAUGACGUAAGUCCAAAGAUUUAUCGCCCAAGGAUGAGCCCGCGUAGGAUUAGCUAGUUGGUGAGGUAAAGGCUCACCAAGGCGACGAUCCUUAGCUGGUCUGAGAGGAUGAUCAGCCACACUGGGACUGAGACACGGCCCAGACUCCUACGGGAGGCAGCAGUGGGGAAUAUUGGACAAUGGGCGAAAGCCUGAUCCAGCAAUGCCGCGUGAGUGAUGAAGGCCUUAGGGUUGUAAAGCUCUUUUACCCGGGAUGAUAAUGACAGUACCGGGAGAAUAAGCUCCGGCUAACUCCGUGCCAGCAGCCGCGGUAAU